GUGCCAGCAGCCGCGGUAAUACAUAGGGUGCAAGCGUUGUCCGGAAUUAUUGGGCGUAAAGAGCUCGUAGGUCGUUUGUUACGUCGGAUGUGAAAACCUGAGGCUCAACCUCAGGCCUGCAUUCGAUACGGGCAAACUAGAGUUUGGUAGGGGAGACUGGAAUUCCUGGUGUAGCGGUGGAAUGCGCAGAUAUCAGGAGGAACACCAAUGGCGAAGGCAGGUCUCUGGGCCAAUACUGACACUGAGGAGCGAAAGUCUGGGGAGCGAACAGGGUUAGAUACCCUGGUAGUCCAGACCGUAAACGGUGGGCACUAGUUGUGGGAACCUUCCACGGUUUCUGCGACGCAGCUAACGCAUUAAGUGCCCCGCCUGGGGAGUACGAUCGCAAGAUUAAAACUCAAAGGAAUUGACGGGGCCCCGCACAAGCAGCGGAGCAUGCGGCUUAAUUCGACGCAACGCGAAGAACCUUACCAAGGCUUGACAUAUAGGGAAAAGUGGCAGAGAUGUCAUGUCCGCAAGGGCCCUAUACAGGUGGUGCAUGGUUGUCGUCAGCUCGUGUCGUGAGAUGUUGGGUUAAGUCCCGCAACGAGCGCAACCCUUGUUCUGUGUUGCCAGCAUUUAGUUGGGGACUCACAGGAGACUGCCGGGGUUAACUCGGAGGAAGGUGGGGAUGACGUCAAAUCAUCAUGCCCCUUAUGUCUUGGGCUGCACGCAUGCUACAAUGGCCGGUACAGAGGGCUGCAAUACCGUAAGGUGGAGCGAAUCCCAAAAAGCCGGUCUCAGUUCGGAUUGAGGUCUGCAACUCGACCUCAUGAAGUUGGAGUUGCUAGUAAUCGUAGAUCAGCCUCGCUACGGUGAAUACGUUCCCGGGGCUUGUACACACCGCCCGUC
rnacentral:rRNA from 1 species